rnacentral:rRNA from 1 species
GACGAACGCUGGCGGCGUGCCUAAUACAUGCAAGUAGAACGCUGAAGGGAGAGCUUGCUCUUCUGGAUGAGUUGCGAACGGGUGAGUAACGCGUAGGUAACCUGCCUGGUAGCGGGGGAUAACUAUUGGAAACGAUAGCUAAUACCGCAUAAUAGCAGUUAUUGCAUGAUAACUGUUUGAAAGGUGCAAUUGCACCACUACCAGAUGGACCUGCGUUGUAUUAGCUAGUUGGUGGGGUAACGGCUCACCAAGGCAACGAUACAUAGCCGACCUGAGAGGGUGAUCGGCCACACUGGGACUGAGACACGGCCCAGACUCCUACGGGAGGCAGCAGUAGGGAAUCUUCGGCAAUGGACGGAAGUCUGACCGAGCAACGCCGCGUGAGUGAAGAAGGUUUUCGGAUCGUAAAGCUCUGUUGUAAGAGAAGAACGAGUGUGAGAGUGGAAAGUUCACACUGUGACG